AGUGAACGCUGGCGGUAGGCCUAACACAUGCAAGUCGAACGGCAGCACAGUAAGAGCUUGCUCUUACGGGUGGCGAGUGGCGGACGGGUGAGGAAUACAUCGGAAUCUACUUUUUCGUGGGGGAUAACGUAGGGAAACUUACGCUAAUACCGCAUACGACCUACGGGUGAAAGCAGGGGAUCUUCGGACCUUGCGCGAUUGAAUGAGCCGAUGACGGAUUAGCUAGUUGGCGGGGUAAAGGCCCACCAAGGCGACGAUCCGUAGCUGGUCUGAGAGGAUGAUCAGCCGCACUGGAACUGAGACACGGUCCAGACUCCUACGGGAGGCAGCAGUGGGGAAUAUUGGACAAUGGGCGCAAGCCUGAUCCAGCCAUACCGCGUGGGUGAAGAAGGCCUUCGGGUUGUAAAGCCCUUUUGUUGGGAAAGAAAAGCAGCAGGUUAAUACCCCGCUGUUCUGACGGUACCCAAAGAAUAAGCACCGGCUAACUUCGUG
rnacentral:rRNA from 1 species